GUGGCUCAGUGGUAGAGUACUUGCCUUGCAUGCAUGAGGCCCUGGGUGUGAUUCUCAGC
rnacentral:tRNA from 1 species